ACCCGCCUAGCACAAUGGUAGUGCACUCGACUUCUAAAUUCCUGUAUAGUCGAUAUCGAGAGGCUGCGGGUUCGAGUCCCGCGGUGGGUG